rnacentral:rRNA from 1 species
UGGGGAAUAUUGCACAAUGGGCGCAAGCCUGAUGCAGCCAUGCCGCGUGUAUGAAGAAGGCCUUCGGGUUGUAAAGUACUUUCAGUCGGGAGGAAGGUGGUAAGGUUAAUAACCUUAUCAAUUGACGUUACCGACAGAAGAAGCACCGGCUAACUCCGUGCCAGCAGCCGCGGUAAUACGGAGGGUGCAAGCGUUAAUCGGAAUUACUGGGCGUAAAGCGCACGCAGGCGGUUGAUUGAGUCAGAGGUGAAAUCCCCGGGCUUAACCCGGGAAUUGCAUCUGAUACUGGUCAGGUAGAGACUUGUAGAGGGGGGUACAGUUCCAUGUGUAGCGGUGAGAUGCGUAGAGAUGUGAAAGAAUACCGGUGGCGAAGGCGGCCCCCGGGGCAAAGACUGACGCUCAGGUGCGAAAGCGAGGGGAGCAAACAGG